GACGUAGGUGGCGAACGUUAUCCGGAAUUAUUGGGCGUAAAGGGUGCGUAGGUGGCCUGACAAGUUAUCAGUGGCAAAUCGAGGCUCAACCUCGUGGAAACUGGUAAUACUGUUCGGCUUGAGUACAGGAGAGGUUAACGGAACUCUAUGUGGAGCGGUAAAAUGCACAGAUAUAUAGAAGAACAUCAAUAAAGGCGAAGGCAGUUAACUAUUCUGUUACUGACACUGAGGCACGAAAGCGUGGGGAGCAAAACGG
rnacentral:rRNA from 1 species